GAUGAACGCUAGCGGCAGGCCUAACACAUGCAAGUCGAGGGGUAGAGUUCUUCGGGACUUGAGACCGGCGCACGGGUGCGUAGCGCGUAUGCAAUCUACCUUAUACAGGGGAAUAGCCCAGAGAAAUUUGGAUUAAUGCCCCAUAGUGUUAUCGAAUCGCAUGGUUUGAUAACUAAAGUUCCAACGGUAUAAGAUGAGCAUGCGUCCCAUUAGUUAGUUGGUAAGGUAACGGCUUACCAAGACAAUGAUGGGUAGGGGUCCUGAGAGGGAGAUCCCCCACACUGGUACUGAGACACGGACCAGACUCCUACGGGAGGCAGCAGUGGGGAAUUUUGGGCAAUGGAGGAAACUCUGACCCAGCGACGCCGCGUGCGGGAUGAAGGCCUUCGGGUUGUAAACCGCUUUCAGCAGGGAAGAAGCGAAAGUGACGGUACCUGCAGAAGAAGCACCGGCUAACUAUGUG
rnacentral:rRNA from 1 species